CAGUCGCCACGGGAAUACGGAGGGUGCAAGCGUUAAUCGGAAUUACUGGGCGUAAAGCGCACGCAGGCGGUCUGACAAGUCAGAUGUGAAAUCCCCGGGCUUAACCUGGGAACUGCAUUUGAAACUGUCAGGCUGGAGUCUUGUAGAGGGGGGUGGAAUUCCAGGUGUAGCGGUGAAAUGCGUAGAGAUCUGGAGGAAUACCGGUGGCGAAGGCGGCCCCCUGGACUAAGACUGACGCUCAGGUGCGAAAGCGUGGGGAGCAAACAGGAUUAGAUACCCCUGUAGUCCCUGUCUCUUAUAC
rnacentral:rRNA from 1 species